AGAUAUGGGGAUAUAUGUAUACGUAUAACUGGUUCACUUUGUCAUAGAGCAGAAACUAACACACCAUUGUAAAGCAAUUAUACUCCAAUAAAGAUGUUAAAAAGAAAAGACUUCACAUGGUGGAAUCUUGAAUCCAAGCCUCUGGAUUCCCAGUUACCUUUUCUUGAACCGAAAUGUAAGAUGGAUGUACGUUUGCUGGACGUAAGAUGGUAUGUUCAAGUGGAAUACUGAAUUGGCUGUAUUGAAACCAGCUUCAACUAAAUCGGAGUACCUGCCGAAUCAUGGAGCACAAAAGCAGCAAAACAGAUCAACGUGACUAGAAACAUUCGUAAAAGGAUGGUUUGGUCAAAUAUUUCAGGAUAAAGCCACAAGGCAGGAGACAGCCUUUCCAUGGGCGAGGAAAACCUCAUCAAGUCACUGUACACUGCUUCUUUUGACCACAGGUAAACAAAUGGCUAACAUCCUAAGCAGCGGUGAUGAACAAGUUGACAUUACCACGAAAGAUAAGAAAAUGUAGACAUCUGCCUAGAAGAAAACACUAUAGUUCAUCCAUAAACAUAGAUUCUCUUGCUAAGAAACAGUAAGAAAAGCUCAACUCAACUACACAUUUUUAUAAGCACUAUGCAUAAUUUCUACCCCAGUUUCUUUUAGGUCUAGCUAUAAGAUUACAUGAUUAUUUCAUUGCUUAAAUCUGAAUAGUAUUGCAAUCUUAAGACCUCUGUAAAUAUAUGGAAGACUUAAAUGGAAAAGUAAACUUGCUCAUGAUGCCAUGGAAACUCAAAGAAAAAAUAUUCUUAAAAUGUUACUAUGGGUAUUUUCUUUCUAUGAAUAAAGACAGGAUUUAAUGUU